GUACUUCGAAGCAUGUCAACCGCUGUUUAAAAUCCAUUUUUAUGCCAUUUUUCUCGUAAAAAAGCGAUAAUAUUCCGACCGGGAAUCUCCUUUUAGUUAAACAGAGGAAAGUAAACAAAGCUUUCGGUCGACGCGGGCACGAUCCUGAGUCUCACAGUACUGUAACCAGCCACUACCCAAACGCGCUACUUUUUUUCAGCCAGAGCCUGCAAAGCCACGAUUCAGCUUUUUACCGCCUUCUGAGACCCUAUGGCAGCCGUAGGAAGUGUCACGGAACAGCUAAGAUCCUCACUCUUCAAUAAACAGAGACAAGAAGAACGACACCUUGUCAGACAGGCCACUUCCUGCAUGAAACCGUGUCAGGUUUUUGCCUGCCAAAUGAGUUCUGUUGUACUCACAGACACAAUUCAAACAGUUUUAGAAACUUUAGGGUGUUUUCUAUCCAUAUGUAAUAAGUAUAUGCAUAUUCUAGUUACUGGGUAGGAGUGGUAACCAGAUUAAAUCGGGUACGUUUUUUAUCCAGCCGUGAAAAUACUGCCCCCUAGCCAUAACAGGAUAACAUAAUGUCCUAGGAGUGUCAUCUGAUGAAGAUCAUCAAAGGACCUGAGCCCUAGGACCAUGCCUCAGGACUACCUGGCAUGAUGACUCCUUGUUGUCCCCAGUCCACCUGGCCGUGCUGCUGCUCCAGUUUCAACUGUUCUGCCUGCGGCUAUGGAACCCUGACCUGUUCACUAACCACCCACCACAAGAAGACCAAGCAGCGUGGUAUGGAGGAACAGAGGGUUAUGGACUCCUGGACUUGGGAGAUGAUUUUGGACGGAAAGGGACCCUGGACAACGCCUGGGGAGUAUCGCCGCCCGCAGUGGGAGAUCGAGGCAGCGAAGGCGGAACGGCGAUACUGGGAGGAACAGGGUAUGAAGCCUUUCCUGAAGGAGCUGCUGGACCCAACAAAACGCCAUGUCUUUGACAGUCUAACCAGAUCAGAGGCGGAGCUAACCCAGACCCAUACACACUGUCUCA
rnacentral:lncRNA from 1 species